rfam:Felis catus isolate Cinnamon breed Abyssinian chromosome B1, whole genome shotgun sequence.
GCCUGGGUGGCUCAGUCAGUUGAGCAUCUGACUUCCACUCAGGUCAUGAUCUCGCGGUUCAUGAGUUCGAGUCCCGUGUCGGGCU